CAGCCCCUCGAGUGGUGGGGAUGAUUAUUUGGCCUAAAGCGUCCGUAGCCGGCUGGGUAAGUCUCCCGUUAAAUCCAGCGUCUCAAGCGUUGGACUGCGGGAGAUACUGCCUGGCUAGAGAGUGGGAGAGGUCAGCGGUAUUCUGGGGGUAGGGGCGAAAUCCUUUGAUCCCCGGAGGACCACCAGUGGCGAAGGCUGCUGACUAGAACACGUCUGACGGUCAGGGACGAAAGCUGGGGUAGCGAACCGGAUUAGAUACCCGAGUAGUCC
rnacentral:rRNA from 1 species